GUGGCCCACAAAAGGAGGGAAAUGGAAGUUGUGUGUGAGUGCUUCUAAGUUGUAAAUAAUGUUGUCAAAUUGUUACAUUGAUCUCUCCAUGUGUGAUUUAAUACUUUUCUUUAUGGCAUAUCAUAUAGAGUAAGAAAAGCGUUUUCAUGUAUAAUCACCUCAGUUAGCAGAUCAGUUGGGAUUGGAAAAACGUAUCUCUGUUAAGAGUGAACUCUCUGCUUGCUUGCUUGCUUGUUUUACUCGGCAACAUUUCUAAGACUGUUCCGUCAUAUGUGAAGGCAGUGAGGAUUGCAGUGAAAACCUCAGGAGUAGCAGAGUGGUUUCCGACACUUGAAUAUCCAGAAAACUACUUUAAGAAUCCCAUAAGAAGGAACACAUCUAUGGAUUAUGUAUCAUGUUCUUCGUCACACGAAAUGUUGUAUCAGCUUGCAGUUCUUACUUGCAGACGUGGUUUGUCGAAAGCCUUCAUCUUGACGACCUACCAAACGUUUGAUUGGAUCUGCAUCAUUUCUUAAGGAAGCCCAAUGCAGACACCUGAAUCCAUCACCAGUCAGCAGCAGCCACCCGACUAUAAAUUUGAGCUUGAUGAGUAACAUAUUUAUGCAAAAGAGCCAUCCUGUUGUUGGAAAUUCCUCUACAAGAUGGGGAAGAAAUGUGAACCCAUCGAUAGUGAUAUGGGUCUUUCGUGGAUCCCACCCAAGUCCGACCUGAUAUAAUCUGGUGUAGGUGAAGCUUAUUUUGCUCAUCGCGGAGAAGCUGGAACCGUAGCAGACAUCAUAAAAGGUGAAACCGGAGGAAACAGAGAAGAAACUUGAUUCUGAGAACUCCUCGCAGGAUUUGGGUUCAAUGCUAUCCGAGUGUCCCAGAUUCCCUCCAUGCAUGUGAGUCCAAGGCAAACUGCUGUAGAUUGCAUUGAGCAAUCAACAUCAACGACUCCAUCUCCCUCAAGGCCCUACUCGAAACCUAGCAGCAGCAGCAGACAUGAUUAGAGUGCUCAGUUCACAACCCUUAUUCCUGUGGGCUA